AUUGAACGCUGGCGGCAGGCCUAACACAUGCAAGUCGAGCGGAUGAAGGGAGCUUGCUCCUGGAUUCAGCGGCGGACGGGUGAGUAAUGCCUAGGAAUCUGCCUGGUAGUGGGGGAUAACGUCCGGAAACGGGCGCUAAUACCGCAUACGUCCUGAGGGAGAAAGUGGGGGAUCUUCGGACCUCACGCUAUCAGAUGAGCCUAGGUCGGAUUAGCUAGUUGGUGGGGUAAAGGCCUACCAAGGCGACGAUCCGUAACUGGUCUGAGAGGAUGAUCAGUCACACUGGAACUGAGACACGGUCCAGACUCCUACGGGAGGCAGCAGUGGGGAAUAUUGGACAAUGGGCGAAAGCCUGAUCCAGCCAUGCCGCAUGCGUGAAGAAGGUCUUCGGAUUGUAAAGCACUUUAAGUUGGGAGGAAGGGCAGUAAGUUAAUACCUUGCUGUUUUGACGUUACCAACAGAAUAAGCACCGGCUAACUUCGUG
rnacentral:rRNA from 1 species